rnacentral:rRNA from 1 species
UACGUAGGGUGCAAGCGUUGUCCGGAAUUAUUGGGCGUAAAGAGCUCGUAGGCGGUUUGUUGCGUCGGCUGUGAAAUCCCGAGGCUCAACCUCGGGUCUGCAGUCGAUACGAGCAAACUAGAGUGUUGCAGGGGAGACUGGAAUUCCUGGUGUAGCGGUGAAAUGCGUAGAGAUCGGGAGGAACACCAGAGGCGAAGGCGGCCUACUGGGCUGCACCUGACGCUGAGCCGCGAAAGCGUGGGGAGCAAACAGG